rnacentral:rRNA from 1 species
GUCCACGCCGUAAACGAUGAUAACUAGGUGUUGGGGGAGUUGACCCCUCCAGUACCGUAGCCCACGCGCUAAGUUAUCCGCCUGGGGAGUACGGUCGCAAGACUAAAACUCAAAGGAAUUGACGGGGGCCCGCACAAGAGGUGGAGUAUGUGGUUUAAUUCGAAGCAACGCGAAGAACCUUACCUGGGUUUGACAUACCGUGAAAAGCGCAGAGAUGUGUAAUAGUAGCAAUACACACGGAUACAGGUGCUGCAUGGCUGUCGU